rnacentral:lncRNA from 1 species
UUUCCUGUGAAGUUUUCAGCCUGUGAGUGUAUUUAGAGGGCAAGAAUGACAGGAAUGAAACGAUCCAAGUUCCCCUCGUUUGUGGGAGUGGGGAACGUGCUCUGCCCAUCUCCCAAAGACCCGUACAUCGGGAGGAGGGAUUUGCACUGGAGCUGUUCCCAUGGUGUUACCUGUUAUUAAUUCCCAGAAAAUAAUUCGGCUUCUUGCCAGAAACCCAAGCUUCAGUAACUUAUUGCUUCAGCCAAAAGAAAUCUAUAAAGAAUUGGUUUUCUUACAAAAAUUCCGUUCAUAUUUUUCCUGUGGAAAACAAACACUUUUUUUCUAAAAGGAAAGGGAAAAAAACACCCUUUGGCUGAACUGUCAAAUCUCUGAAGAAUAAAAGUUCAGGCGGCCUUUCUCUGGGCAACAUGAGACCCACAACAGGCUGUUCCACCCAACAUUUUGUAGUCUGACCUUCGUGAUCUUUGCUACAAAAGGAAAAAUUGUUAGUGGAGAAGAGGAAAGCAGAGAAGGUUUUACCAGCCACCUUUUCUUUUAUAAAGCAGGAGUUAUCUUUAAUCCCUUCUGUAGUGCUCUAAGCUUUUCCCCUGCUCCUGCAGAACACCGAAGUAUCUGUCCAAGUUUAAGGCUGCAAAUAACUCCCCUCACUGCAUUAUCCCUUUAAGGGACUGCAUUAUUCCCUUUAAGGGAAGCCACCUUAGACACGAGGGCUUUUUGUAGUGAAGGCUGUUGAAGUUCCAGCGAGUUGUGCUCCAGCGAAGUCCCCAGACACACAAUGCAAUCUUCUCCUGACAUUCAUCAACCAUUGUAUAAGUCUCCAGGAAUCACAACCAGCUUAAAGAUCAGAGGAUUUUUCUUUACAAUGGCACAGGACUACUACACAGUCUGGGAGAUGGGUGGUACUACCGCUUGCUGUACUAAAGGCACCAGAGAGUCAAGUAAACUCAGUGAAAAGGAACAAGUGACUUCAAUGAGUCUUUGGAUCCAGCUUGCUUUUAUGUAA